CCUAGACUGACGCAGAGAGUACAGUGUAAUUAAUAGGCAGAGACAACUCAUUCGCUAAUCUAGAGUAUACAAUCAUGGAAUCGAGCUGGGAGGCGGCGCUGGCAGCCUCUCCUCUAUCGAUUACCGAGAGUCGGUAAUCGAGUGAUGGCUACAAGGUAUCAAACAUAAAUAUCAUGCAGAGCUCCUGGCCAUUAAGCAUGCUUGCGAAUGGGUUCUCAAAAGUGAGCAUACUCCGG